rnacentral:rRNA from 1 species
UACAGAGGGGGCAAGCGUUGUUCGGAAUCACUGGGCGUAAAGGGCGCGUAGGCGGCUAAUCAAGUCGGGGGUGAAAGCCUGUGGCUCAACCACAGAAUUGCCUUCGAUACUGUUUGGCUUGAGACCGGAAGAGGACAGCGGAACUGCGAGUGUAGAGGUGAAAUUCGUAGAUAUUCGCAAGAACACCAGUGGCGAAGGCGGCUGUCUGGUCCGGUUCUGACGCUGAGGCGCGAAAGCGUGGGGAGCAAACAGG